CACCGCGGUUAUACGAGAGGCCCAAGUUGACAAACAACGGCGUAAAGAGUGGUUAGGGAAUUUACUAAACUAGAGCCGAACGCUUUCAAAGCUGUUAUACGCACCCGAAAGUAUGAAACCCAAUUACGAAAGUAGCUCUACCUGUCCUGAACCCACGAAAGCUAAGAAACAAACUGGGAUUAGAUACCCCACUAUGCUUAGCCCUAAACAUCGAUUGCACCAUACACUCAAUAUCCGCCCGGGAAUUAUGAACGUCAGUUUAAAACCCAAAGGACUUGGCGGUGCUUAACAUCCACCUAGAGGAGCCUGUUCUAGAACCGAUAACCCCCGUUAAACCUCACCCUCUCUUGUUUUAUCCGCCUAUAUACCACCGUCGUCAGCUUACCCUGUGAAGGUCUUACAGUAGGCAAAAUUGGCACAGCCCAAAACGUCAGGUCGAGGUGUAGUGAAUGAGGGGGGAAGAAAUGGGCUACAUUUGCUAAACAUAGCAAACACGAAUGUUGCAUUGAAACAUGCAGCUGAAGGAGGAUUUAGCAGUAAGCAGGAAAUAGAGCGUCCCGCUGAAACUGGCCCUAAAGCGCGC
rnacentral:rRNA from 1 species